rnacentral:rRNA from 1 species
UACGUAGGGUGCAAGCGUUAAUCGGAAUUACUGGGCGUAAAGCGUGCGCAGGCGGCUUUGCAAGACAGAUGUGAAAUCCCCGGGCUCAACCUGGGAACUGCAUUUGUGACUGCAUGGCUGGAGUGCGGCAGAGGGGGAUGGAAUUCCGCGUGUAGCAGUGAAAUGCGUAGAUAUGCGGAGGAACACCGAUGGCGAAGGCAAUCCCCUGGGCCUGCACUGACGCUCAUGCGCGACAGCGUGGGGAUCAAACAGG